ACGUAGGAGGCGAGCGUUAUCCGGAUUUACUGGGCGUAAAGCGCGUGCAGGCGGUUUCUUAAGUCGGACGUGAAAGCUCCUGGCUCAACUAGGAGAGGUCGUUCGAAACUAGGGAACUUGAGGAUGGUAGAGGAGAGUGGAAUUCCCGGUGUAGUGGUGAAAUGCGUAGAUAUCGGGAGGAACACCAGUGGCGAAGGCGGCUCUCUGGGCUAUUCCUGACGCUAAGACGCGAAAGCUAGGGGAGAGAACGGG
rnacentral:rRNA from 1 species